UGCGUCACUGAUGGAUGGACCCGCGGUGCAUUAGCUAGUUGGUGGGGUAACGGCCUACCAAGGCUGCGAUGCAUAGCCGACCUGAGAGGGUGAUCGGCCACACUGGGACUGAGACACGGCCCAGACUCCUACGGGAGGCAGCAGUAGGGAAUCUUCGGCAAUGGACGCAAGUCUGACCGAGCAACGCCGCGUGAGUGAAGAAGGUUUUCGGAUCGUAAAACUCUGUUGUUAGAGAAGAACAAGGAUGAGAGUGGAAAGUUCAUCCCUUGACGGUAUCUAACCAGAAAGCCACGGCUAACUACGUGCCAGCAGCCGCGGUAAUACGUAGGUGGCAAGCGUUGUCCGGAUUUAUUGGGCGUAAAGCGAGCGCAGGCGGUCUUUUAAGUCUGAUGUGAAAGCCCCCGGCUUAACCGGGGAGGGUCAUUGGAAACUGGGAGACUUGAGUGCAGAAGAGGAAAGCGGAAUUCCAUGUGUAGCGGUGAAAUGCGUAGAUAUAUGGAGGAACACCAGUGGCGAAGGCGGCUUUCUGGUCUGUAACUGACGCUGAGGCUCGAAAGCGUGGGGAGCAAACAGGGUUAGAUACCCUGGUAGUCCACGCCGUAAACGAUGAGUGCUAAGUGUUGGAGGGUUUCCGCCCUUCAGUGCUGCAGCAAACGCA
rnacentral:rRNA from 1 species